rnacentral:rRNA from 1 species
CGAGACUGUGAAGUGGAGCAAAUCCCAAAAAUAACGUCUCAGUUCGGAUUGUAGUCUGCAACUCGACUACAUGAAGCUGGAAUCGCUAGUAAUCGCGAAUCAGAAUGUCGCGGUGAAUACGUUCCCGGGUCUUGUACACACCGCCCGUCACACCAUGGGAGUCAGUAACGCCCGAAGUCAGUGACCCAACCGGACAGGAGGGAGCUGCCGAAGGCGGGACCGAUAACUGGGGUGAAGUCGUAACAAGGUAAC